AUAUUGCACAAUGGGGGAAACCCUGAUGCAGCGACGCCGCGUGAGUGAAGAAGUANUUNNGUAUGNANAGCUCUAUCAGCAGGNNNNNAAAUGACGGUAACUGACUAAGAAGCCCCGGCUAACUACGUGCCAGCAGCCGCGGUAAUACGUAGGGGGCAAGCGUUAUCCGGAUUUACUGGGUGUAAAGGGAGCGUAGGUGGCGAGUCAAGUCAGAUGUGAAAGCCCGGGGCUCAACCCCGGGAUUGCAUUUGAAACUGGUUUGCUAGAGUGCAGGAGAGGUAAGUGGAAUUCCUAGUGUAGCGGUGAAAUGCGUAGAUAUUAGGAGGAACACCAGUGGCGAAGGCGGCUUACUGGACUGUAACUGACACUGAGGCUCGAAAGCGUGGGGAGCAAACA
rnacentral:rRNA from 1 species